UAGUAAUUUUGUGACAAUACUAGACAGAAUAUGAAGAGGUCAGUCACAAAGGUUUGUUCCAAGAAUGACUUUUGGAAUCAUGCUGCCCUGCCUUCUGCGUCUUCACCAAGAAUUUGCUACCAGAGACCAAGCUCUACUACUACUUGAUUACUUCUGGCCCAUAUCCAGCAGGAAGCAGCCAAAAUAGCCCAGCAAUCAUUGGUAUAUCAUCUUCUUCCUAUGAAGGAGCAGCAGCCAUUUCUCCAGUGCUGGCGAAGAGGGCUGUUGAAAGGGAGACGCUGCUGGUUCCCUGUAUCUAAAAGACUGAUUAUAUACAUUGCUUUUCCACAUGUCGGUGUUCCUAGUUUGUAGUGUGAAUAUUUGUGUGUUUAAGCUAGACUUAUUUGGAACGAAUAUAUAUAUUCUUCUGAAUUAAAAU
rnacentral:lncRNA from 1 species